rnacentral:rRNA from 1 species
GUGUCAGCAGCCGCGGUAAUACAGAGGGUGCUAGCGUUAAUCGGAUUUACUGGGCGUAAAGCGUGUGUAGGCGGUUCGUUAAGUCGGAUGUGAAAGCCCUGGGCUCAACCUGGGAAUUGCACUCGAUACUGGCGGGCUAGAGUACGGUAGAGGGCGGCGGAAUUCCGGGUGUAGCGGUGAAAUGCGUAGAUAUCCGGAGGAACACCGAUGGCGAAGGCAACCGCCUGGGCCUGUACUGACGCUGAGACACGAAAGCGUGGGGAGCAAACAGGAUUAGAUACCCUGGUAGUCCACGCCGUAAACGAUGAGAACUUGACGUCGGUUUGCUCUGCGAAUCGGUGUCGUAGCUAACGCGCUAAGUUCUCCGCCUGGGGAGUACGGCCGCAAGGUUGAA